UACAGAGGGUGCGAGCGUUAAUCGGAGUUACUGGGCGUAAAGGGCGCGUAGGCGGUUAUAUAAGUGAGAUGUGAAAUCCCUGGGCUUAACCUAGGAACUGCAUCUCAUACUGUAUGACUGGAGUAUUGUAGAGGGUAGUGGAAUUUCCGGUGUAGCGGUGAAAUGCGUAGAGAUCGGAAGGAACACCAGUGGCGAAGGCGGCUACCUGGACAAAUACUGGACGCUGAGGCGCGAGAGCGUGGGGAGCAAACAGG
rnacentral:rRNA from 1 species